rnacentral:rRNA from 1 species
UCGAGGAUCUUUCGCAAUGGGCGAAAGCCUGACGAAGCGACGCUGCGUGAGCGAUGAAGGCCUUCGGGUCGUAAAGCUCUUUCGCGCAAGAACAAGGAAGGUUCGUGAAUAACGGGCUAACUUGAGGGUACUGCGUAAAGAAGCACCGGCUAACUCCGUGCCAGCAGCUGCGGUAAUACGGAGAGUGCAAGCAUUAAUCGGAAUUAUUGGGCGUAAAGGGCGCGUAGGCGGUAAGAUAAGUCAGAUGUGAAAUUCCGGAGCUCAACUUCGGAGCUGCAUUUGAAACUAUUUUGCUCGAGGAUUGGCGGAGAAAACGGAAUUCCACGUGUAGCGGUGAAAUGCGUAGAUAUGUGGAAGAACACCUGUGGCGAAAGCGGUUUUCUAGCUAAUACCUGACGCUGAGGCGCGAGAGCAAGGGGAGCAAACAGGAUUAGAUACCCCCGUAGUCC